rnacentral:rRNA from 1 species
CGACCGGCGCACGGGUGCGUAACGCGUAUGCAACCUACCCAUAACAGGGGGAUAACACUGAGAAAUUGGUACUAAUACCCCAUAACAUCAGGACCGGCAUCGGUUCUGGUUGAAAACUCCGGUGGUUAUGGAUGGGCAUGCGUUGUAUUAGCUGGUUGGUGAGGUAACGGCUCACCAAGGCAACGAUACAUAGGGGGACUGAGAGGUUAACCCCCCACAUUGGUACUGAGACACGGCCCAG